rnacentral:misc_RNA from 1 species
AACGCACAUUGCGCCCCUUGGUAUUCCGAGGGGCAUGCCUGUUCGAGCGUCAUUACAACCAAAUCAAGCCCUGCUUGGUGUUGGGGUGCGCGGUACCCGCGGCCCCUAAACGCGGUGGCGGCGCCGGUGGGCUCUAAGCGUAGUAACUUCUCUCGCUAUAGGACCCCCCGGUGUCUCGCCAGCAACCCCCCAUUUUUUCAGGUUGACCUCGGAUCAGGUAGGGAUACCCGCUGAACUUAA